GACGAACGCUGGCGGCGUGCUUAACACAUGCAAGUCGAACGGAAAGGCCCUGCUUUUGUGGGGUGCUCGAGUGGCGAACGGGUGAGUAACACGUGAGUAACCUGCCCUUGACUUUGGGAUAACUUCAGGAAACUGGGGCUAAUACCGGAUAGGAGCUCCUGCUGCAUGGUGGGGGUUGGAAAGUUUCGGCGGUUGGGGAUGGACUCGCGGCUUAUCAGCUUGUUGGUGGGGUAGUGGCUUACCAAGGCUUUGACGGGUAGCCGGCCUGAGAGGGUGACCGGCCACAUGGGGACUGAGAUACGGCCCAGACUCCUACGGAGGCAGCAGUGGGGAAUAUUGCACAAUGGGCGGAAGCCUGAUGCAGCAACGCCGCGUGCGGGAUGACGGCCUUCGGGUUGUAAACCGCUUUCGCCUGUGACGAAGCGUGAGUGACGGUAAUGGGUAAAGAAGCACCGGCUAACUACGUG
rnacentral:rRNA from 1 species